GUUGGGGAGUACUCAGCUGGUAGAGUGCUUGCCUCACAUGCACGAAGCCCUGGGUUCGAUCCCCAGCACCACCA
rnacentral:tRNA from 1 species